rnacentral:rRNA from 1 species
UACGUAGGGUGCAAGCGUUAAUCGGAAUACUGGGCGUAAAGCGUGCGCAGGCGGUGAUGUAAGACAGAUGUGAAAUCCCCGGGCUCAACCUGGGAACUGCAUUUGUGACUGCAUCGCUGGAGUGCGGCAGAGGGGGAUGGAAUUCCGCGUGUAGCAGUGAAAUGCGUAGAUAUGCGGAGGAACACCGAUGGCGAAGGCAAUCCCCUGGGCCUGCACUGACGCUCAUGCACGAAAGCGUGGG